CAGGUGUCCAAGAUUAUUUCCCCAGCUAGGUCUGUGGGCAGCAGAGCAUAUUCUGAUUCCACAGAAUAAUCUACGAUGAAUGUUUUAACUCAGAACACUUCAAAACCAGAACCCUCCAUAUGAGAUCUGAGCCUCUCUGAAUCAGACACACUUUGGGCACCACUCUACCCUUGCCCACCUGAAAGUCAACAGAGUCCCUCGAGGGGAAGUGAGAAUAGUUGGGACAAGAGAUACCGGAGAUGGAGGCAAGACAGGAUUCUCAUCAAGACUUGUUUAUUCAAGAGAAGAAUCCAGGCAUAAAGUCCCUAAGUGCAACAAGAAGAAAAGUCAGAAUGUUCAAACCAUGGGAAAAAUGGAGCAAUAAAUCCGUGCAGAGUUAGUAUGUGAGAGAUCAGAAGAGCAUGAGGAGUCAAGCACAACAUGAUGUGCAAAACUGAAUCAGGAAGCAACUCAUAGAGGGAUCUCUCAUUGAACUGGUAAUUUGAAAUAUGAACAACUGGAUAUUUUUAUAAUAUAUACAUGUGAAGAAAACUGGUAUAUUAACAUUAUCAAGUUUCCCAGGACAUGGAGCAUGAAUGAAGAAAUCUUGAGCAGGAUGCCUGGGACGAGUAAGUAGCAUUUCCCUGGAACAAUUGUCACUCAACGUGAUCAAUAAAAUAUAUGAACUACAAAAGAAAUACUGGAAAUCCCUGAACAUCUUCACAUCGUCUCACUCCUUCUCUGGAAACUAGCUUGUAGGAAAAAUGCA